GGCUGGUUUGAUGGUAGUGGGUUUUCAGAACUUAUUAACAUUAGUGUCACUAAAGUUGGUAUACAACCCCCUCACUGCAAAAUUUGACUGGCUUAUA
ensembl:misc_RNA Y_RNA Y RNA